rnacentral:lncRNA from 7 species
AGAAGACGGGGAAAGACUUGUCUGCUGUCAGGAUGAUGGUGAUACUGACGCAUCAAAUAGAGCUGAAUGCUGCUGUAAAGCUAGGGACCCAACCUGUGGAAAUCGAAGUCUCUGAGGAUUCCUAUGUGACCAAAGGUUGGAUUUCACUUCUCAAAGAGUCAGCUUUUGAGCAUUCCUUUAUGGAGCUGCAAGAACAUAAAGUCAUCACAGAGAGCCUCGUUAAAAGUGUUUAAUGAGAGCAGUGUGAUCCCACAGCCCAAGGGUCAGCAUGAGAGCAAGGACAGCCCAGAAGCCUCGUCCCACCAGAGACCCCAUUCAUCAAGGGACACACUGACUGCUGUCACCAACACCCAGACAGGCACAGGAGACAAAGCAACCCAAGAGAACUGCAGCUGGGUAUCAACGCCAGUGCGAAUUUCUCAGCCCAGAACAAGCCAAGACUCACUUCUGGCCAAAAUUCCUGCACUAAUGCUAACCACCAUCUGAUUACAUGAUUUUCCUGAGAUCCUGCUGCAAGUCGUUGUCACAGAAAGGGCUCAUGUGGGCACACUGCAGCCCUGGUUCCCUGCUGCCUACCUCUGCCUCUGGUUGGUCCGGUGCCCUGAGCAGCCCCAUCACCUGUGCUCUGCUCCCUGCUGGAAAAACAUGCUCGUUUUCAAAGGUGUGUGGCUGGAGCUGUGCUUGAGACAAGUCCGAAUGCUCUCUGCCUGGGGAGCAGGAUGGGGCUGAGGGGAAGAAAAGCAGCAGUUAAUGCAAAGAGAGAAGGAGAUUUUUCCGUGCAGUCAACAUGUUGCAUGUGCAUGUCCAGAGUUCUCGUGAACCAAAAACCAAUUCACUGACUGAGCUGAGGAAACUCCUCCCCGUGUUGGUUCAUUCCCUGUGCUGCACAUCUGCUCCUGGAAGCCAUGACCCACUGCUCAUCCGCCGGGCUGACAGCACACCAAGUCCUGCCUAAAUGCAAGAACCUCAGAGCAUCAGUAGGACAUCCCACCCAGCCAAAGAACCCGGAGGAAACUUCUAAGCUUGUAUGAGUCACUCAUCAUCUCAAGCAGCAUUAGAAGGAAAUUGCCUUAGGGCACUGUCAUCACCAUUUGUGAGUAUUUGUUGACAGCAAAUGUCUGUGCUACUGUUACGAACCUCAGGCUGGGCUAGGUUUGAACCUAAGAUCACCACUUUUAGCACAUAUACAUUGGCCAGCUGGGCUGAAAAAUGGAGAAUUCAGCAUCACCAGAAGCUGGCAGUUGCCUUAAAGUUAAUGUGCAUCUGCGCAUAGCCUUCGCCAGCAACAAAUGCAGAGUGAUGGGCUUAGCUUAGUUGAGAACAAAGUAUUCUUACAUCCCAAUGAACCUGAAAAGACGGAGGUGAAAAAAAAUACCAUUACUGAUCUGGAACUAGAUGUUAGCAGGGGACAAAACUGCAAAUAGAUAUGCACACACACACUUCUGCCAUUGUUACACAAUCUUUCACAGCUACCAACAAUCUGCACAUAAUCCCUGAGUCUAGUUCACGUUCCCAUGAUCUGAUGGCAUCACCAGGAGAGUGCUUAUGUAUUCCAGCCAGGGCAAGCAGCACAGACUGGAGGCUUCCCAGGCAAGAAUAAGGUUGAUGCGUGUGUCACCUAAAAGCCCCCCUUCCACAUAUCUCACUCUAAGACAUCUCCCUGAAUUUACUGCCUACAAACCAACUGGCAAGCAGACAUUACAGCUUUUCCUAAAAUUUAGGUGAGCAGCAGCAAGGAGGUGGCUGGGCCAUUGCCUCCCAGCUCUUCCUCCAGGCUGCUCAGCUCAGUCUGUGUAACCUCAUCAGCAUCCUAGCAAAAAGCUAUUUUUGCCUCCUAAACAAGCACAAGAAAAACCUUGGUUGAAGCAGAAUGGAAAAGAGCUUCACGGCUUCCCUGGAGAAGGGGAAUGCAAGAUGGUGGUUGGUAGCCAUCUAUCCCAUCUGUUGGAGCCUAGACCCAGUUUUGUCUAAAGAUCCUUGGACAAAUUUGAUGUGCUCACAAAGGGUGGCUGAGAUCCUAGCAGAGCUGAAGUUGACUUCAGACCUGGCCAGCCCAAGCAGAGGACAUUGCUGUUGUUUAAAAAUGAUACUCAUUAAGAGCAGAAGUCAGGCAAUGAUCACCUUCUGUAGUUGAUAAUACUCAAGGAGGGAGAUGGUGGAAAAAUGAAACCUUGGAAAAUAAAACUUAUUUGGCACCGCUG